UCCAGGGUAGCCUACUGGACUUGGAAUCUGCCCGGUAAGCGGAACAAUGUGGGUUCGAUUCCCAUCCCUGGAC
rnacentral:tRNA from 1 species